rnacentral:rRNA from 1 species
AUUGAACGCUAGCGGGAUGCUUUACACAUGCAAGUCGAACGGCAGCGCGGACUUCGGUCUGGCGGCGAGUGGCGAACGGGUGAGUAAUGUAUCGGAACGUGCCCAGUAGCGGGGGAUAACUACGCGAAAGCGUAGCUAAUACCGCAUACGCCCUACGGGGGAAAGCCGGGGAUCGUAAGACCUUGCACUAUUGGAGCGGCCGAUAUCGGAUUAGCUAGUUGGUGAGGUAACGGCUUACCAAGGCGACGAUCCGUAGCUGGUUUGAGAGGACGACCAGCCACACUGGGACUGAGACACGGCCCAGACUCCUACGGGAGGCAGCAGUGGGGAAUUUUGGACAAUGGGGGCAACCCUGAUCCAGCCAUCCCGCGUGUGCGAUGAAGGCCUUCGGGUUGUAAAGCACUUUUGGCAGGAAAGAAACGUCGCGGGCUAAUACCCCGUGGAACUGACGGUACCUGCAGAAUAAGCACCGGCUAACUACGUG